UACGAAAUGUGCAAACGUUAUUCGGAAUCACUGGGCUUAAAGGGUGCGUAGGCGGCUUGUUAAGUAGGGUGUGAAAUCCCCCGGCUCAACCGGGGAAUUGCGCCCUAAACUGGCGAGCUGGAGUGAGAUAGGGGUGUGUGGAACUUCCAGUGGAGCGGUGAAAUGUGUUGAUAUUGGAAGGAACGCCAGUGGCGAAAGCGACACACUGGGUCUCAACUGACGCUGAGGCACGAAAGCCAGGGGAGCAAACGGG
rnacentral:rRNA from 1 species